UCGGGAAUUUUGGACAAUGGGCGCAAGCCUGAUCCAGCCAUGCCGCGUGCGGGAAGAAGGCCUUCGGGUUGUAAACCGCUUUUGUCAGGGAAGAAACGGUCUGUCUUAAUACUGCGGACUAAUGACGGUACCUGAAGAAUAAGCACCGGCUAACUACGUGCCAGCAGCCGCGGUAAUACGUAGGGUGCAAGCGUUAAUCGGAAUUACUGGGCGUAAAGCGUGCGCAGGCGGUUAUAUAAGACAGAUGUGAAAUCCCCGGGCUCAACCUGGGACCUGCAUUUGUGACUGUAUAGCUAGAGUACGGUAGAGGGGGAUGGAAUUCCGCGUGUAGCAGUGAAAUGCGUAGAUAUGCGGAGGAACACCGAUGGCGAAGGCAAUCCCCUGGACCUGUACUGACGCUCAUGCACGAAAGCGUGGGGAGCAAACAGGAUUAGAUACCCCCGUAGUCCCUGAGCGGGCUGGCAAGGCGCAU
rnacentral:rRNA from 1 species